rnacentral:rRNA from 1 species
UACGUAGGCAGCAAGCGUUGUUCGGAAUUACUGGGCGUAAAGAGUGUGUAGGCGGUGUUCUAAGUCUGUUGUGAAAUCUCCCGGCUUAACUGGGAGGGUGCGGCGGAAACUGGAAUGCUAGAGGAUGGGAGAGGUAAGCGGAAUUCCUGGUGUAGCGGUGAAAUGCGUAGAUAUCAGGAGGAACACCUGUGGUGUAGACAGCUUACUGGACCAUUCUGACGCUGAGACACGAAAGCGUGGGUAGCAAACAGG